CCUACGGGGGACUGCAGUGAGGAAUAUUGGUCAAUGGACGAGAGUCUGAACCAGCCAAGUAGCGUGAAGGAUGACUGCCCUAUGGGUUGUAAACUUCUUUUAUAUGGGAAUAAAACGUUCCACGUGUGGGAUUUUGUAUGUACCAUAUGAAUAAGGAUCGGCUAACUCCGUGCCAGCAGCCGCGGUAAUACGGAGGAUCCGAGCGUUAUCCGGAUUUAUUGGGUUUAAAGGGAGCGUAGGUGGAUUGUUAAGUCAGUUGUGAAAGUUUGCGGCUCAACCGUAAAAUUGCAGUUGAAACUGGCAGUCUUGAGUACAGUAGACGUGGGUGGAAUUCGUGGUGUAGCGGUGAAAUGCUUAGAUAUCACGAAGAACUCCGAUUGCGAAGGCAGUUCACUGGACUGCAACUGACACUGAGGCUCGAAAGUGUGGGUAUCAAACAGGAUUAGAUACCCGGGUAGUC
rnacentral:rRNA from 1 species